GUGUUUCUCUAUGCUUCAAUCUCUUUGUUUGUGUAUUGUUUAAGCAUUUUGUGAUACUUCAAAAUUUGGAAUUUUAGGCUAGGCAGGUUCGAUAUAACAUAGACUAUGUGAAUGUUUAGUUUGAUUAGAGAGAGUCUUGAGGAGGUUUUAGAAUUGGAAUGAUCAGAAGUAGGAUUUGAGGAUUGAAAGUUUUUGAUGAUUUUAAAUUGAUUAGAGUUUGAGUAGGCACAAAAAUGUUCAUUUUUUUAAUUGAUUGAUGGAGUAACGUGUACGGGAAUUGCUGUGACACGUGAUGAUACAAUAUUCAAGAAGAAAGUGAUAGAUUCAAGAGUUUAAGAGCCACAUCCUUUUCUCUGUUACGUGGGAGUCUCAAAUUAAACAACUUGUUGGUCUUUUUCUCUGUUGUUUCCUCCUUACAAAACUCUGUACUCCUUUAGAGUCUUUUUUUGUUUUUUCUUUCCCCUCAUCCGUCUUACGUCUCUUUCAAGAUUGAUUACAAAAAAUGGAUUCUAUGGUCAAGACGUUUAGUUUAAAUAGACCAGUGACUUAUAUAUAUUUUUUUUUUCAAUAUAGAGUUACUUCAUAUAAGAGUAAAGAAGUCUGUUUCGUAUAUUAUUUACUGAUGAGAAUUUGCGUUAUAAUUGUGAAAUCUGUU
rnacentral:lncRNA from 1 species